AAAAAAGACAAGUGGAUAAAACUGGUACAAGCAUCUGUAACAAGCUAAUUGGACCCUUGUGGGCAACAUAGCAGAUACAAAAUUAAAACAAACAAAACAUGUCAUUGUACAACUGUACUUUCAGGACCGUUAUCAUGAAGGGAUCCGUCUGGAUUUUUAUUUUUGGUUUGUUUUGUUUAAAAGGACCUAAUUAUGGCCAGAGCUGGAGUAUCACAAGUCUGUUUUCAUCUAUAAAGAAAGGAUAUUUUGCCUCUGAACCUGAGAAAUUGUUAGAAGUUGGUAAUUAGUAUGACUUGUUAAUAGAGUUUGGCUAUGAUUAAGCUGUGAUUGAGUGUGAGUUUGGUUCUUGUCAAUGCGAAUGCCUGUAAGGUUGAGAGAUGUUUAAUGAGACACCUGUUGUCAGCAGCACCCAGUGGGCUUUGUCACGCCUGAUUGGAAUUUGUACUACAGAGCAGGAGUGAUGCUACUCUGAAACACAGCAGUACAUGGGCACCUGGUGGAGCAUGAGGGGGCUGAGGCCUGAAGGAGGGUCAGACCUGUGGGGUACAGUGCCUGGCUGCCAAGGGCAGCCCCUCAGUGAGAGCAGGCUCUGCAGUGCAGCUCUGCAGCCUGUGGAAAGUUGUUACUGCGUGCCUUGGGGACGGGCUGUGUCCAGCAGGCCAGGUGAUGCUCUGCAAGCUGAACAGUUCUAGCUCCAACUAUGGUAUUUAAUAUGAUAAAGCAUCCUUGUCAAGAGCCAUUAUGUCUGACUUGGGGAGUGCAACAGGCAAAAACUGCUGACAUCUUAAUUUAGCCCCUGUGGGGCUUUAACAUUUCUCUCUUUGGGAGAAGGCAAGAGAGGGGAUGCAACCAGGUAUAUUUAAUGCCCCUCAAUUUAAUGCCCAGGGCUCUUUAAAAUGUUAGAUUGAUGGGGAGAGGCUCAGCUUAGCUGUGGUAGCUGUGGUACAUCCCUAUCUCUAGGCAUCAUCUUCAAGCAAAAAUGUCCCAGUGAGCAAACUCAGUAUCUCUUGGGAUUAGGCCAGCAAGAAAGUUUCUUUCAAAGACUGCAUUUUUCUGUUAGAAAUCAGUAUAAUUUUCCACGUCUCCAUGUUGUUAACUCCUACACCAAAAUCCAGGCCUGAUCAUAACUUUGUAUAUUUGGACUGCAUACAUACAAUAUUAUUUCCCCAAAACAUCUUUCAACAUUUUCAAGUGGCUCCUAUUUAAAACAUACCUCAUUUUUACAUGAAAAAGGACAAAGAAGCUGGAAACAGUCAAGCCGGUCGCUUUCACCGUCUUUCCGUAUCUGAGGCCUGCCUUAGCUGGGAACAGAGCAGAAACAUUUCAGCUCACAGAAUGUCCCUGAGGAAGGAGCCAGUGGCUUUGUGAUGAAGCUGAGCAACCACUGGAUGGCAUUGCUCUACACAAAUGUACCUGUGAGCACAUGCAGCUGAGUGUGAGCAGGCUGCUUCACCAAGGAGAUUAAUUCAGACCCGAGAGGCUCAGGCUGCUGUGACCCCACCAAUCCUUUGAAUAAAAGUCAGGCUUCUCUUAGCUGUCUGGCUCCGAGUUCUGGACACACAGUUUGGUCAGAGCGAACAAAGCAGACUUCCCAAAGCACACUUAGUUCUAUGCUGAAUAUAUUCUUCUUUCAUUUUAGGUUAGGUCAAAUAUUUAGCCAGUUUUUUACGCUCUUCCUUCUUAUGAAAGGGGAAAAGAAUCAUUUGUAGCUUGUGAUCAUAUCAAAGUGACUCAGGGCAAGCACAUCCAGCCAGCAAGUUCUGCUUUCACACAAGUCCUGGUCCUGCAGCCAUUCUGGCCAGGCAGCUCCAGCACCCAGGGCUCAGCACAGUGCGAGUCAGCGAGGUUUGUUAUUUGUGUGUAACGUGAAAAGCAGAACUAAAGAAAAAAAGAAGAAAACUGGGUGCCAGGCAUGUGUGGCUUUGAUGUGGGUUCCAUAAUUUUGAGACUAGGUUAUUAUCCCAAGUUUGGUGCCUGUGCUUGCGACAGUGGCCUCUCAGCACACAUAAUACAACUCUGCCUUCUGCUACAGCACUUAUUGAUAAGGAGUCAGCUGGUGGCUAAAUAACCUGAUGUUCAUAUUUUCCCCUGGGGUCUGUGUUUCUUUCAUUAACAGCACACACUGCAUUGGCCUAGUUUUUUUAACGACUACAUCUGGCCAAGCCUAUCUGAAAAUGUCAUUGGCCCAGUUCAGGCCCAGGAGAAAUCCGCUGAUGGCUUUGGAGAAGCAGCAGGAUGUAUGGAAUUGCAGCCCCACAGAAGGUGGAUCUGAAGGGGAAUAAUGCAGGAUUUUUGAGAAUCAAGUUGAAAUUAACUGACACCCAUAGUCUGCACAUCUGUCUUCAAAUUAGGACAUAACUUACUUACAAUUGAGUCUUGUAUAUUGACUGCUAGGUAAAGAUUUCUGGGCACAGAUUGCCUAUUAGUAUCGCCCCAGUUUUGACUGAUCUAACAAAUUUAAUAAUCAUAGUCAUUUGGGCAAAUCCACUUAAACUGGAAUUAAAAUGUCAUGGUCAGUUCAAGUCCUGCAACAGCUCCUACAUGUUGGUUCUCUGGUCUGUACCUAGACCCUGUUGCACUCACCUGCUUUCUUAAGUACUGGAGAAGUAAGACCAGUAGAUCACUUCAUAAAAUGUUACCUUUCUUUUAUGACUCCAUUAGUCUCCUUUUUCUGGACCUACUCCAAGUCCAAACAAACAAACAGAAAAACCUGUAUCCGUCUUCAUCUGCUCAGCAGUUUGUUAAUAAACGCUUCCCACUUUCAGAAAUGCUUAGGCUCUGUGGGAAAUUUAGGCUCCAUUAGCAGUGGGCAACUCAGAGCCAACUUCUGAUGGCCAUCACUCUGCUACAGGCACUCCAGGAGCAGGCCAAAACAACUGGUGUUGAUCAACUGCUUACUGUCUCCUAUUAGGAACCACUGAUUGAGAUUUCUUGCGUCACCCGCAGUCCCUACGAAGUAGCACAAACCUUCAGUGGGCUCAGUGGUUUUAAUCUCUUUCCACUGACACUGGAGGAAAAUCUGUUCUGAACUUCAGCACAGAGCUGUGUUUGAACACAGGAUAAAUCUGUACAUCGUGUUUAGCAGUGGAGAAUAAAAGAAUAAGGAAUAAAAGGAAGGGUGUUCCUAUAGACCUUCCGUUGCACAACAGGUUGUGUCUGGGAAAUACUGCCUUGCACCCAGCAUUGGUGAGGGAUGAUAGAAAUCCUGACCAGGGCACCCACUGCUGUGCUGGCUGUUUUAAGACAGAUUGUACAGGCAGUCAGCUCAGCAUGCAAAUUUGCCCUGGAUUUUUCUAGAGUCACAGCAACUUCCCAGGCCUCCAGAAAGUCAAGGUGACCUUCGAAGGGGAAGUCCGGAGCAUUGGUAGGUAAUGGGAAUUUAUAAAGAAAAAAAAAGAAAUGUUAGACUAAUUCCAACCCAUUACAGAACUCUUAAGAAAAAUGAACUGUAUCUGCUGAAGUGGCUCAUUCUGUUCAGUGGCACAAUGUAAUGGGGGAUCUGUCACUGUCAGUGCUGUUCUUGUCUCACUGAAAGCCACGGUGCCUUUCACAACCACUAAAUAAAAAUUCAAGCCAGCUGUCCCACCUGCCGGAGCAGUUUCUAUUCUGGGCUCUGUGUGCUGUAGGUAUUGUACUCAUUGAUUAGCUGUGGCUUUUUGUCCCUUGACAUUGUUAGGGAAUAUUCUCUAGGUUAUAAUCGCUAUGACUGAUGCAGGCAGAACAUUUCAAACCUUGCUGCUGCAGUUCAGGCUGCUAUUGUGCAUGGUGCUAGGCUGUGGCUACAUCUGCAGGUCAGACUAUGGUGGGAAGCAUUUUGAUAGGAAAUGAGAAGGAAACUUUAGAGAAGUUGCCUUAGUCAGAAAAGAUGGGGGCCUCCCUGACUCUAGCUGUCAAUCAGGUGUUAGGGCAAGAUUAACACCCUUUAGCAGUGACACAGCUGUUCCACUGAAGAUGCUAACAUGAAAGCAGGGGAGGGAAGAGCCUCUCGUGAAAUAAUGAACAGAGCCAGUGACUAUUAGUAAAAGGGAAGUUUUUACCCCAAGAAGCUGAAAGUGCCUCUUCAAGCUGGUUAUUUUAGUGGGAAUAAGUUCAAAAACAAGCAGAGCCUUACUUCAGGUCUGCAAGAGAAGCUAAAAUAUUUACCUCUCUUUUUAAGAUCAGACUGGCUUCUGGGGAGGAGAAUAACAGUGAUAAUGUAGAUAAUGAAGUCUCUUAAGAAGUCUCUUGGCAGAGAACGUGCAGAUUAACACACAAAUCCUUACCUAAAGAAGGCAUGCAGCACUGAGUCUCUUCCCCUGAUAGCACUGGAAGUUGUGAUAGGAGUUAGUUCGGGAAGAUAAUGGAUUUAACACUAGAAAGAAACUGGUAUUUUGCCCACGAUUGUCCUUCUAGGAAAGGAGUCAGAACAGUGAAUUUCUCCCUCUGCUGCUUAUGGUAAAAGUAGAAAAUAAUAGUUUAUCUUUAGCCUUUCUGCUGACCAAACUGAGUUUGUCCAAUGCAUCAGGAUCCCCCAGGACAGCAUAAUAUCAAAGACUUCUGCUGGAAGCCUUAGCAUAUCAGGAUGUUUAACACAGAGUUACACUUGGGAAUUAGAUUAUGCCAGCCAAGGGUGCAGUUUUACAGUCAGCUUAAGCUGACCUGAGGCCAGGUUGCCAACAGCAUUACUUCCCCAUUCAACCUAUGUAUCAACAUUUAUUCAGCCAUGCAAUCCAUUCCAUGACUGGAUUUGGUUGGGGCUUAAACAUGAUGGGUGUCAGUCCGAGAGAUGGGGGAUAAAAUGGGAUCACCCCUUCAAAUGGCAUCGUAGGCUUAAGCUAAUCAAGAACAGUAGUGUGAAGUUGUGCAGAAACAGGGACGCUAAAUCGCACAGUGUCUCUGUGAGAGAGAGAGAACUUUUUACUCAAUUUGCACCAAAACCUCCAGAGCCUUGAAUUCAUGCUUGAGGAACCAAGAACUGCCUGUCUGACCCCUAUGGGAGUCAGGGAGCUGCUAGUCCUGUGCUGCUUCACUCCUCACUCCUCAUUUCAUCUAUUACAAUCACCCCAUCAGAAAAAAAGAUUGCUCUUAAAUGCCACAGCCCCAAAGGUGUCAGGUCUGUACUUUCCUGCAGGAUGUGGGCCAGAUGCCCACCUCUGCCCAGACCUGCCCCACAGGAGCAGCCGUGCUCCCUUUCCCUUAAAGCACUCCACAGCCAUCCCACAGGAGCCAUCCCAGGAAUGAAGUGAAUCAGGCCCUGCCACCGGUGUGCAGGGAAGCGACAGCAGCUACAUCUGUUCACUCUACUCCACGCUCAGGAUCUUUGACAUUGCUAUCAGUACAGCCUGAAACAGAACGGGUGCGAGCUCUGGGAAAGAGUAGUGGGUUCGGAUGGAAACAAUAACAACCACAGGGAUACCACCAGCCCUAGUGGGAGCAAAAAUAUUGCUUUACCACUUCUGAGUGCAGCAGAGCAUAUGGACAGUCUGGGACUGUUGUCAGCAACCCAGAAUGGGGUAGCACUGUUCUGGCAAACACCAUCUUUUGUCUUUAUGACCAAAGAAUAGUUGCGUGUUGGAAGCUCUGUAGUUGCUAGGGGAUGAGCCAUUAAUAUGUUGGCGACUCAGAAGUCAGCCAAAGAAAAUGCUGAGAUAAAAUUACUUUUUACCGCCUCUGUUUCACCCCAAGUGUGUCAUCCAGUCUACUUGCUCUGCUUAGGCCUGCUUCACCACACUGCUCAGUGCAGCCUGCAAGUCUUGCCUGCAGCAGUGGCGAGCGCAGCUCUGGAAAGGUUUAAUCCAAAACAGAACAAAGUAUUCCUAUUCCAAAAUAAAUACAUCCGUAGAUCUCCUGAUUUUACAAUAGCAUUCACUAAACAAUGGAGAGAAUACAAGAACUCUGAAAAGGAGCUGCAAACAUCGAGAUUCAGAGGAACCAGGAAUCCUGGACUGCCAUGCGUACAGCCUGCUGACCUCCAGCAGGUGGAUGUGUGAUGGAAGGAGCUGUGCCCUGAUGAGUGUGAAGGUCAUGUGCUGCAAGCUCCAGGUUGCAGGGGUCCGUUUCCGUGCUGUCUGCCGAUGGUGCUGCCUGAAGGAAAACCAUGGAAACGGAGUUUGACAGGCUCACAGGGACCCACGGCUGCCAGAGCCGCUGCCUUUGAGCGCCUGAUGAAGACAUCACAGAGCAAACACAACAUUAAAACGCUGCUGGCUGCUUUGCAUCACUUAGAAUGCAAAUCUCUUUGUUCUGCUCGGCCCUUGCGUUUUGUAGCUGAGGAAUCUGUGCUAUCAUCUAACACGGAUUUGCUGACCUUUCUUCCUUCCCUGUCCACUCUCC